rnacentral:rRNA from 1 species
UACGUAGGGGGCAAGCGUUGUCCGGAUUCAUUGGGCGUAAAGAGCUCGUAGGCGGUUCGGUAAGUCGGGUGUGAAAUCUCCGUGCUCAACACGGAGCGGCCACCUGAUACUGCCGUGACUCGAGUCCGGUAGGGGAGUGUGGAAUUCCCGGUGUAGCGGUGAAAUGCGCAGAUAUCGGGAGGAACACCAGUGGCGAAGGCGGCUACCUGGACCAGCACUGACACUGAGGCACGAAAGCGUGGGGAGCAAACAGG